UCAACCUCUAGGAAUCAACCAAGUUACCUACCUCUUAUCAAAGGUCUAAUCCUCUAAAACAAGUGUUCGGGGCUUAAUCAACUUCUCUUUUUUUUUUUNAACGUUCUACAUUCAUAAAAUCUAGUAUUUAAUCAAGCUAAAAAUGUGCGAAAACCAUGAGUGAAACAAACUCAUCAGUGGUCUAAUAUUUCAUUUCCCACUCAUAAGAUUCACAUGCUCAAAUUGAUAUUUCUUUGUAUUUCAUUAGGUGUAAAUCUAAAGAUUGUUAUCCAACCACUCUUUUCUUUUUUGCUCUAGUUCGGUUGGGUUUAAUCGAUAAUCUCAACAUUUAGUCAUGUGAUGAUUCUUCAUUAAUAAGUUCUUUUGCAUUUAAGUUUAUACUAAGUAAUUCAAAUCUACUAGUUUAUUAAGUCCAAACAUCAAAUUCAACUACACCAUUUCAAGUUUUUUUCUUUCAUUCUCUAUUAAAUCACGUAUUUUAUCUCACUCUCUUAAGCUAUAUUUAUCCUUUGUAAUGAGCUUUAGGUCGAUAGCUCCCUAAUUAUUUAGAUCAAAGUGUACUGGGUUUCGAAAUACCUCAACAGACUUAAUAACUCGAGUCAAAAAUCAUAUAAACUGAGGCCUAAGAUUCAACAAGAGCAAAAUCAUUCUUUUAAGCACAACAAGAUUAACAGGGCUUAGAUUCCUGGCAUAU
rnacentral:lncRNA from 1 species